GAUGAACGCUGGCGGCGUGCCUAAUACAUGCAAGUCGAGCGAACAGACGAGGAGCUUGCUCCUCUGACGUUAGCGGUGGACGGGUGAGUAACACGUGGAUAACCUACCUAUAAGACUGGGAUAACUUCGGGAAACCGGAGCUAAUACCGGAUAAUAUAUUGAACCGCAUGGUUCAAUAGUGAAAGACGGUUUUGCUGUCACUUAUAGAUGGAUCCGCGCCGCAUUAGCUAGUUGGUAAGGUAACGGCUUACCAAGGUAACGAUGCGUAGCCGACCUGAGAGGGUGAUCGGCCACACUGGAACUGAGACACGGUCCAGACUCCUACGGGAGGCAGCAGUAGGGAAUCUUCCGCAAUGGGCGAAAGCCUGACGGAGCAACGCCGCGUGAGUGAUGAAGGUCUUCGGAUCGUAAAACUCUGUUAUUAGGGAAGAACAAAUGUGUAAGUAACUAUGCACGUCUUGACGGUACCUAAUCAGAAAGCCACGGCUAACUACGUG
rnacentral:rRNA from 1 species